GGGUAAAUGAAGAAAAAUCAAUGUCAUGAAGAGAGAUGAUGUCAUAAAAAACAAGCAAAAGAAGGUUGAGCUGAGGCUC